rnacentral:lncRNA from 1 species
CCAUGCAAACAUGUGGAAGACCUUCUUUACGGUAAGGGUGGGGGAGCCCUGGGACGGGUUGCCCAGAGAGGUGGUGGAGGUUAUGACCAGCAUCUCCUCUGGGUUGGGAGGUACUGCCAAAUCCUCGAGGCCCUCUACCAAUGAUAGUGUACCAAGGAUAGUCUACUGUGCUGUGAUCUUCAGGGACGUUUUCAACACAAGCCAUCCUAUUGUUCUGUGAUCUUCAAGGACACUUCCAACGUACAAAAAUCCAGUGGUUCUGUGAUCUUCAGGGAGCCAUGCAACACAAACCAUUCCAGCGUUGUGUGAUUUUAGAAGCUGGACGUGAGCCAGCAGUGUGUGCUGGCAGCCCGGAAGGCCAAGUGUGUUCUGGGCUGCGUUAAGAAAGAGGUGGCCAGCAGGGAGAGGGAGGUGGUUGUCCCCCUCUACUCAGCUCUUGUGAGGCCCCAUCUGGAGUACUGCACCCAGGCGUGGGGCCCUGUAUGAGACCUGUUGAACUGCAACUCCACCUGUGUGACCGGAAGGGGUGGAGCCAGGCUCCACCUCUCCUAAACCCCAUUUAAGGGCUGACUGCCACGGAGGAAGGAUUGCUCUCUGAAGAUCACUCCUCUUGGAGCCCUUUUGGCGAGCCCAGGACACGGGCCCCCAGUAGAGGAAGGGUGGAGCUGUUGGAGCGUGUCCAGAGGAGGGCCACUAAGAUGAUCAGAGGGCAGGAGCACCUCUCCUAUGAGGAAAGGUUGAGGGAACUGGGCUUGUAUAGCUUGGAGAAGAGAAGGCUCCAGGGGGAGCUCAUUGUGGCCUUCCAGUACUUGAAGGGAGCGUAUAAACUGGAAGGGGAACGGCUGUUUUUGAGGGUGGAUAGUGGUAGGACAAGGAGGAAUGGUCUUAAACUGAGACAGGGGCGGUUUAGGUUAGAUAUUAGGAGGAAGUUUUUCACCCAGAGGGUGGUGACGCACUGGAACAGGUUGCCCAAGGAGGUUGUGGAUGUCCCGUCGCUGGAGGCAUUCAAGGCCAGGCUGGAAGUGGCUCUGGGCAGCCUGCUCUGGUGGUUGGCGAUCCUCUGGUGGUUGGCACAUAGCCGGGGGGUUGAAACUCGAUGGUCAUUGUGGUCCUUUUCAACCCAGGCCAUUCUAUGAUUCUGUGAGAUUUUCCAGGACCCUUCCAAUGCAGGCAUGACUGGG